AGUGCGCGGGGAGCAGCUGGAAAAUGCGAGCCUCCCGCCAAGGCUGGUUUAAGGAAGAAGAGCCACCACUGCUACGGGUAUUUUCUUCAAGCAGCUACUACUGGCCCGUACUUUACAAUAAUCGUGUUCCGUACGAGGUGGUUUUGCUCAUAUUCAUUCCUCUGUGCCAUAAAUGUCCCAAUUUAGCCAACCCAUACCUGCAUCAACGAGAAGCGUGUGUUUGUGCUCCUAAGAGGUCCACAGCACUCUGAGCAAAGUUAGGCAUCAUCUUCUUCGUUGCGUUAAUUAAUUUCCUUUAACUAUAUAAUGCAGAUAAAUUUCUCAGGUGUAUAUCAAGGACUAAACUUCUGUUUUAAAGAUAAACAGAAUAAAACAAAUGGGUAAAAUGA